rnacentral:lncRNA from 1 species
UUUCAUUACAUUACCAACAUCUUAGAGUACAAAUACAUAAUUGAAAGAUUUGUGAAAUGAAAAUAAUUUUUAAAAUACAAAUAUUGGGUGUGAGCACAAUAACUCAAUGGAAACUAUGGAAUAUUCUAGCAUAAGACUCAUUGCACAUAAACCUUUUUGUUGUUUGAUAACUCAUUCUUCAGUGCAUGUACUCUCAUGGAUCAUCAUCAUCCUCAUACAUCCCAAACAAAUGGCAUCCGUUUUUAACACACUUCCAUGCAAACAUUUCCAAUUGACUUUUUGGACAAUCAUCAUCGGUUUGACAUUCAAUAAUAUAUGCUGUAACAAAAAAAAAGGAUAAAAUAAUAUUACAAAAAUGAGAUAAAAUAUUGUAUACAAACUAUAAAGUAUAAAAUAAAAUAAAGAAUACUUGAAAAGUAUGAAAAAAUAGCCUACCAGCAAAGUUAUUUUCAACAAGAAAUAAGAGAAUGAAUA